CCCAAAUUUUCUCCUUUCCCCCAAAUUUUAUUAAAAAAACCCUAACUUCCCCCAUAUUCCUAUUCGAAUAUGUUUAUUAGGGUUCACGAUUCUCCCGCAGACGGCGUCCAACGACCACGGAACGAUUUCAUCUCUGUGGGCAUGUUCGCUUCCUGGAGCUCAAAACCCUAACCACAACCCUUUCUUCUAUUUCUUCAUUCAAACCCCCAAAUAUCCAAACUUUCCUCCUCUUUUCUUCUACAUUUCUUCCAAUAUCGUUUUCUCAUCACCGUUUCUACUUCUACAUUGCCUUUGCCUUCUGUUUCUACCAUCCAAUUCCGCACAGAUUCACGAUCUUCUCUUCCGUCUGCUCGCAAGCCCUCAUUCAUUGCAAGUCGCCGCUGAAGAUUGGUUGCGUUCGUCCGCCAUUGAAGACUUGUUAGGUUCAUCGGCCGCUCAAGGAAAGUUGUGUUCGUCCGCCAUAGUUCAGAAAUUCGUCGCGCACUGUCUCUGCUUGUAAUAGGUUCGUUGGUUACGUUCGUCCUCCGCUGAAGAUUUGUUGCGUUCGUCUGCCGCUCAAGGAAAGUUGUGUUCGUCUAUCGUAGUUCAUAAAUUUGUCACGCACUGUUUCAACUUGCAACAAGUUUGUCCGCCGCCGUUCCCAGGUCUAUGAAAUGGCAAUGAUGUCAGCCAUACAGGAGGCACAGAAGGACAAUGUUAGAAGUUUUAAUGAUUACAUGAUGAAAGUUUUAGAGGAUAGCAUGACUCAAAUAUUUUGACAGGAUAAAUCUUCCUUGAUCUGGAUUUCAAGUAAAGGUGAAAGGAGUUUGAAGUUAGCUUCAAUCUCACGAAUUACACCUGGACAAAGAACGAUUUGCUUAUAAUUUGAUUUUCCUCUUUUCGACGGCUACCCACGACCUUCAGACGACGAUCCACUACAAUCCGACACGACCCACUGCUGUUCGACGACGCCCACGCAAACUCCGACUCAUGGUGCUUUAAUACUUGAGUUAGCAAGUUGGUUUAUGAAGAAAGUUUUUGUUUUCAUGCAUCUAAUACUUUAGUUAGCAAGUUGGUUUAUAAAGAUUGUACCUUAGACAUGUAUAUUUUGUUUAUAUUAAACAAGAAAAGGUUCAUCUUGUAGCUUAGACAUGUAUAUGGUUCGUUGAUAUACAUAUGCAAUUUCUUUGAUGGAAAA